CAGCAAUGCCGCCGGGGAUUCUGGUGAUGCUGAGCAGUGGGGAGCCGGCGCCACAUCCCUGCUGGUUUCCAGUGGGAGCCCACCACAGACUACUGCGGCCAUGAGGGUUGCUGGAGCACAGUCAUGUGUCAGCUCUGGGAAAACUCCUCUUGCUUUCUCCAUGGCAGGGAUAUAUAUAUAUAUUUUUUCAAAUAAAAUCAGAAGAAAAAAACCCACAACAAAAACAAACAAACAAAACCCAAUACAACAAAAAAAAACCAAAAUGCAUCAGGGGUUGAAAAUGACCCAGCUGAAAUAGUAUAAUUGGAUUUGGAAAUGGAAAGCCUGUUUCAGAAGAAAAUUCCUGGGAUGCUUGUUUUUAAAGUGAUAGCAGCAACCUCAAGAAAACAACAAAGCAUCUGCUAGAAAAUGAAGGGUAAUAUAAGGUCUGACCUCAGGACUCACCUCAGGACAACAGAGCUUAGUACAGUUCUGUUGCCCUGCAAAUACCUCACGUCACUGAGAGCAAAAUCACGUUCAGGACAACAAAAUCAAGAUGAAAGAACAGAACUCUGUUUAUAUGGCAAUACUAUAUGCUGGCUUCAACUGAGCCUGGGGAACUACUGUGCUAAACACUCUACAAAACAAAACCGAGAAUAAAAGACAGCCUUCCUGAAAGAGAUUACCCAACACAUUGGGACUACAGUCCCACAGAGUUGUGGGAGAAAAAGAAGAGCUCUGCCCGUGUGAUCUCCUGCACCUCUGGCCAGCAAGGAGGGGUAUAGAGGUAUUGCUUCCCUUUUCUUUCCAUGCAACAUGAAAACCAAGGAGGAGAAGGGGGACUGAGUUCCUAAUGUGCCCAAGGCAGAGAAAGCUAUUUAGUGCUCGUCUGUAUGUAACUGGGUUUGCCAACAUGGCUUUAGCCAGUGGGGCUAUUUCUGUACAUGUGAAAGUGCAAAACCUAAUUUAGAUGGGCGAAUGAAAUUUCCUUGUUGGUAUAGCUUAGAUCAGUUCUCAGAAUAGAAUAAAGGACUUAGGUCAGUAUAAAUGCUUCUUCA
rnacentral:lncRNA from 1 species